rnacentral:rRNA from 1 species
AUUGAACGCUGGCGGCAGGCCUAACACAUGCAAGUCGAACGGUAGCACAGAGAGCUUGCUCUCGGGUGACGAGUGGCGGACGGGUGAGUAACGUCUGGGAAACUGCCCGAUGGAGGGGGAUAACUACUGGAAACGGUAGCUAAUACCGCAUAACGUCGCAAGACCAAAGUGGGGGACCUUCGGGCCUCACACCAUCGGAUGUGCCCAGAUGGGAUUAGCUAGGAGGGGGGUAAUGGCUCACCUAGGCGACGAUCCCUAGCUGGUCUGAGAGGAUGACCAGCCACACUGGAACUGAGACACGGUCCAGACUCCUACGGGAGGCAGCAGUGGGGAAUAUUGCACAAUGGGCGCAAGCCUGAUGCAGCCAUGCCGCGUGUAUGGAGAAGGCCUUCGGGUUGUAAAGUACUUUCAGCGGGGAGGAAGGCGGUGAAGUUAAUAGCUUCACCGAUUGACGUUACCCGCAGAAGAAGCACCGGCUAACUCCGUGCCAGCCGCCGCAGUAA